rfam:Chthoniobacter flavus Ellin428 ctg21, whole genome shotgun sequence.
GCGACCGCGAGGUCGUGGCUGAAAGAAGUCGCAGGCAAAACUCCGACCGCAGGAAAACGAACUGGCAGCGAGGCCGGGCGUGGGCGACGAGCGUGCGAGCAACCGCGAAGUCCGAAGUCCAUCCAGACACGUCAGGUAGAGCCAGGCGGCGCGGAGGGAGAGUUCAGGUU